GCAUUCCUCCUUGCCUCAGGGCAUCCCGGCUCCCUUCGGGGCAUCCCUGCUGCCCUCAAGGCAAUCCCCAUCCCCUGGGGGUAUCCCUGCUUCCCUCAGGUCAAUUUCCCUUCCAGCAAUUCCCUCAGCACAAUUCCAGCUCCCCUCAGGGCAUCCCUGCUCCCCUCAGGGACAAUUCCUGCUCCCCUCAAAGCACUCCCACUCCCCUCAGAGACAAUUCCUGCUCCCCUCAAAGCACUCCCAAUCCCCUCAGGGACAAUUCCUGCUCCCGUCAGAGGAAAAUAUGGCACUGGAUAUCAGGGAGAGCUGAUUUACCUGUCAUUUCUAUAAACUCCAAGUAGUUCCAGGUUCCAGUAUUCCUAUUGAGGCAACUCCCUGGAACUUUCCAGCUUCAAACCAGCAAAAUGACAAACCACAUACAUGGGGUUUAAAAGUUUCCAAGCUGUUUUAGCCCUAUGUCCAAGCUUGGAAUUCCUCCCAAAGGAAAACACCAACCCCACAAGACCCAACCUAUCAUAGUCUCUGGGUUGUAAUUUCUUUCUCUUGUUCACCACACAGCCUUGGAAUUGCUCUUUCUGCAGACAAGAGGGUCAUGAAGUAAUAAAGGAUGACGUUGUGACAAUAAAGAAAAGAAAAUAGAACUUUGAACCAGAGGUUUAGAGGAGGAUUUAUUAGGAAGGGAACUUUUGUACACUGAGAGUCUUACAAUGAGGGACUGUGAGCUGUGCUUAGGAGUGAGUGAGAGCUCUUUGUGUUGCACAGCCCAGGCAAAAGCAGCCACAUCUUAAAUAAGGCUUGCCUUGAUGACACAAAGACUUUGCUGUAUUACUGGUUCCUACCUGCUCCUGUUCCUGCCCUGGCAACAAGGCACACCAACCCUCAGCUCUGCACUGUGAACCAGAGCAGGACACUGAUCCAGGAAUGAACCUAUCUUUGUGGUGCUUAGCCCAAAAGCCUGACUCCCCUUCCUUAUUAAUUUCUUGAAGAAAAGAGAUAAGCCCACACCUGGCCUCAAGAAAUGACUGCAGCAAGUCCUGAGUGUCAAAGCAGCCAUCAGCAGUGGGACCAGGAACUGUGACAGCUGUGCAAAAAGUGGUAAAGGAUAAAGGUAAUGAUCCUAAAACUCAUAAAAGCUGACAGCUUCCUCUCAUCACUUCUUCAUCCACAGCUUGCUGCAAGCCCUUCAGCACAGCAAAUGCCAGAGGAAUUUAAAUGUGCAUAUAGAAAAUAUCUCCAUAGGAUUACUCCUUUGGUGCCUGAGUUUCACUUACUUCUGGAACAGAAGAGAGGCUCAGUGUCCAUUUAUUUCACUGUGUUUAGCACCAUCCUCCAACAGAGUGAAGAAGCAUCUCAAAAUCAGGAAAUAUCAAGAUGUUUGUUAGAGAGGCAAAAUGUACUGAAAUAAUUUGACACUUCUUCUCUCUCUGGAGUUUCCAGUUACUAGUGUUGCCCUGGAAUACCUAAGGUAUUUACAAAUCAAUUUUUAAUAACAGUAAUAUACAUCCCAAAGGAAUGUGGGAUGGCUGCAAGUCUCAUCAAGCUGUAACACAGAUCUGGAGCCAUACUAGUUAAACACACUUUUCUUCAAAACUCUGCUCAGGCAAAGUGACAUAUUUCUAGCAAGACUGCUCAGUCUACACCAAAAAAAUAGACAUAUCCUGAGGAAAAACAAGAUCCAUCCAAAUAAUUGCUAUGUGCUGCAGCUGGAGCUCUGUUUCCAGAAAAUAGCUAAAUAUAAACAUUCCAGACUGGAUGGGUGGGAAGCCAAGGCUGCCUUGCAGCACAGAUACCCACUAAAUAGGAUUGUCUAUUAACAAGCUAAUCACAAGAAUUCAUUCUGCACUGAGAUGAGAUCAGAGAAAGAAGCAAUACAGCUGCUUCAAGUACAGUUAUAUAAUUAAUAGAACUUCUCUGAAAAUGCUACUGUGGCCUCUGCUAGGAGUUAUUUCUCACAUUCCUGGACCAAGCUGCUUCAUUUCCAAAUCCAGAGGUUACAUUCUGUUAGCUGUCAGUCAGGAGCUCUGGUUUUCCCCUGCUUGCUGCAGUGCCACUGGAGAUGAUGUGAGAAGGAGCCACCACUUGGGUGCUGCUGUCCCAGAUUCCUUGGAAAAGACACUGCAACCCCAGCUGUAGGACUUUACAUAAUCUUUGUACUUGUACAUCACUUCUACUUCUCUAGGUGACCUCUAAAAUAGAAAUCUGAAGAGUCAUAAAAGUAAUACAGCUGUAAAAAUAGAAUAAGCCUUUUAUAGGAAUACUUCAACACAGUUCUGUCACAGCUUGGAGCUGGGUUUUGGCAGACCCAGUCAUUAAACCCUAUGUGCUUCUGUAACCUGUGCUUUAGGCUCUUUUCUGGAGAAAUGGAAUUCUGCAGAGCUGCCACCUGAAAUUCCGGACCAGACGCCACAGAUUUUCUGAGGGUUUUCAUAGAUGCAUUACAUCCAGUUUGCUGGCCAUAAUUAUGGAUCGUUGCAGUAAUGAACGUCUUCUGUGCUUCCCCAUUAAGCUGAAUUCAGAUGCAAAGGAUGGCGCUAAGUCCAGUCGCAAACAAAGGUGCUGCAUGUGACACAGGACAUUCCAUCAGUGAUUGUCUUCCUGCCACUUCUCCCCCUGAACCUCAAGUCACCGUCUGCAAAACCAAGGGUUUUGUGCUUUUGUCCACAAGACUGUUCGAGGGUAUUUUAUAGGCCCAUCUUGUCAAACGCUGAGAGCAGCCUUCAGAGACUGUUCUGACCAGUUUUAGCGGCCUGCCCUGAAUUUAAGCUAUGCAUGACUUAGGAAGAACGAGCUCGUUAAAUACAUUCCAGAGGUGACUUAGCAUAAGAAAAAAACACACCUCUUCCGUGCAGUGCUAGCAAAUGUGCUGUGAAGUCAGGUGGGGUUUGCCUGUGAAUAAUUUGCUUGGCUCAAGUUAAGAUUCUGCCGUCUGAACAUAAUGAAAGAGGUUGGGAUGAGGCACAUCUGCCUCCAGCCCAGUCAUCCACACUUGUAAUAUCUUCAAAAUACUGAAGAAGUAAAAAUAGUUUUACAGGAAAAAUGAAGGGAUCUGGUAUGAAAGAGUUACUUUCAGAAAUGGAACAUGUCUGUGACUGCAGGUAUUUUAAAUAGAUCUUCACCAGAAGGGCCUUCAUUUGUGUUUUGACCAAGGUGUUCCUAUGAUGGACCUGGGAAGAGCCUGCUCCACACCAAUUCUCUCCUUAUUGUACAGUAAAGCAAGAAAUGUACUCAAGAAAUGAAUAAUAAUUUUAAUAACAACUCGAUGUCAGGUGAAACGGAACACAGAUCUGUCAUGUAGUAUUCACUGAAGCACAUAAAUUAAAUCUGCUAUUUUGGUCAUAACCCCAUUUAACUUCCCCUUUUGGCUGAAAUGUGGAGCCCAGCUCUGAAUUGAGAAGAAAUGCAACAGCUACACUGUGUGUCCUCCUCACAGGGGUGUUUAGGAACCAGCUGCUCUGGGAAUAUCCCCUGCUACAUCCCAGUGUGUUUGCUCACAGGAAGUGAUUUGACAUUAAAUCUAUUCAAGAUCAGAAAUCACUGCUCACUUCUAGUGUUAAACCUUCUACAUUUUCAGAAGAUUCAAUGGUCAAAGUAAAGAUCAUAAUAUAUUAAAAACUGGGGAAAACAAAACAAAAAAAAAUCCAAAACAAACAAACAAAAAACCCCCAAAACAAACAAACAACAAAAAAAAAAGCAAAAAGGCCAAACCCACAAAUUCUACAUCUCUGCUUAAGUGAGGGAAAUCCAAACUAUUUAUCUGCAUACAAGGGUUUAGCUGGUUAAGAAUUUCUUCAGCUGUGGGACUGAAAUAUAUCCCCCAAAAAUGAAUCACCCAAACAAUAUUAUCAAUGCCCUACUCCAUCUCAUGGAUCCAGAAAUUCCCUCCUGUGGCUGAAGAUGCUGUUUUUUGGUUGUGCAGCUCACAGGGCAUCUUUUGUCACACGACAUGUUUUGAUUUCUGGCCCAGCUGCAUUCCUCACCAGCCAUGGCAGUUCCCUCUGCUGAUGAGUCCACUGGCAAGUUUGUCUUCUUUACUCAUAACCCUUGGUCUUUCUUAAUCUCUUUUCCCCCAAUCAUCAAAAAGCACUUCGCAGAUAUUAAUGUGCAGAUUUGCCUGCUGGCAGACUCCCAGUUUCCAGUUCAGGUUACUGAUUUAGAAGCUGUAGUUUAGUUGCUACAGGACUAGUUCUAUUAAACUACCGUUUAAUAGAACUCAAAGUGCUGCUUUUAUCCUUAUUUACAUCCGCUUCUAUUUGUCUUUAUUCUUUUGCUAAUUGUGGAAAUUAGCUCAGCACUCCUCUUGCUUUCUAGAAGAAGGAAGCUUCCUGAGUGGCUUAAUUUGCUGCGGGGGAGAGGAAAGCUCAUGUGUGGAAUUUUGGGAAGAAUUUGCCAGAUAAGGCCCCAAGUCCAAGCCAGGCAUGCUAUUUUUAUCCCUGAUAUGACUGAGCUGCAGUAGUGAUGUUACAGUAGCAGUUAAUUUAGGGUUCAAAGCAAGGUAAAAGGCAACUUGAUACUCUGUAAUUUUGUGUUAUUAACCAUUGGUUAUGAAAUGUUACUUGUGAAAAGGAUAUUUUGUAAGUAUAUCACGAGAAAAUUCCUUUUUCUUGGCAUGGAGAUGUUGCUUCCAUGGACCUUGGCACAAAGCAGUGUGAAUCUAUCACAUUGUUGCAAUCCAAAGCAAAGUUUGGUUCAAAUAAGAUAAUAAUAAAAUGAAAUAGGGGGAAUAAUCUGUGUUAAUUAGGGUUAGUUGUCCAUGCACAAACAAAAAUGGUGACACCAACACAGACUUUUCAGUUCAGCAGAACCCCUGCAAACAGGGAUGUUCUCUGCCUGGCAGCAACAGCAGUGCAGGUGUGGGUGUGAGUAAAGCAGCAGGUCAGAAACCUGUCCCUGGGUGACACCGAGCUCAGCUCCUCGAGCCCUUGUCCUGUGUGCUCACAGGACAGCAAUCCAGAUGGGGCUGCUCUGAGCACUGCAGCUAAACUUUCAGCUGCUCUUAGAGGAGUAGAUCAUGUGAUAGCUGAGGCAUGAACUUUCCUGCUGCUCUCUGCUCUCAGGCUGCCUUUAUAAUAAAAAAAAUCUCACUGCCUACUUUCCCUUUUCCCCGAGGAAUGGUUGGGGUUUGGGUUUUUCUGCUGGAUAUCCUGGCUACUCCAAGCUCAGCCCUGUGAUGGAAGCAGGCUCUGAUGGAGAAUGAGCCCUGCUCAAACCCCAGGUUUUGUAGUGGUUUCACUGCUUCAGCAAAGAGAUUUGUGGAUUUAUUUUUCAAAUCAAUGCAUGCCUACAUUAUUUUCAUAUUGAUUUAAUAUCAAUUAAUGCCUACAAGCAUAGGAGGUAAAGUGCUUAUUGCAGUUUUUUCCAAUCUGCAUUGCUACGAGCACAUACACUGAUAAUAUUGCUUGCACUUUUAUUCCUUUGCCUAUAACACUUUAGCUACAAAGCAUAAAAAAAUCCAUUCGGAUAAUUCCAUCAAUCCAGCUGUUUUGUAACAAUUGUGACCUUCUGCUUGUCCUGGAAGCCUGAGGGUUAAAGAGCAGUUUUUUGGAAACAACCUAUAGAUCGUUGUGUUUGGCAACAAUUUCCAAGUUUGAUUUAUGUUCUUUCCCCUGCUCCAUUACUAACAAAGUUCCUUAGCGACAGGAGAGCCGUGAGCAUCCCUUCAGCGCCUCCCUUGUCCCUGAAGGUCCCCUGCUGUCCCCGGGGCUGUCCCUCCCUUGGAAGCCCUGCAGAGGUGAAGUAGGAGUACCCUCUGCUGGCACGUUUUGUGCUGGGCUCUGUCCCACAGCUCUCCAGCCUGUUUCUGUUGGUCCGUAGCACAUUUCCCAGACAUUUCCCAGUUUUCCUUACCUCCAUAUGUUCAUUGCCAGAUUUCCCUUCAGAGGCAUUUUUAUACUUUAGUAACUUUUACUAUUCUAUCCAAAUUUUCUGUUUUUUCAUCAUAGUGUGAUGUUGUUGUAAACAAUUUCUUUCCCUGCUUGGCUUUCAGGUUCUUGAGUUAAAUAUUUUUUCCAACAAUCAGCACCUGGACAAAACAUAUUAUAAUCUGUUUUUAAGUGCUGAUACACUUGUACCGUACAUUAAACAUGGGAUGCAGAUGGGAAUCCAGAUCACAUUCCAGAGAUCACAGAUAAACAGUAAGAGUCUUGAGGAAGUUUCUACAACAGAAAUCCAAGGGGAAGAAGAGUUUUGGUUUCUUUUCAACCACAAAAGUAAAUAGCAGAGAAGAAUCGCUCUUCUGGGACUGGGAAAUAGAAAUUGUCUUGGGCUAGAGGUGAAUCCAGGCCCUGUUUAGCCACUGGUAGCUGGAAUUCAGAGAGGAAAUCCUGGGAUCUGAGCCCUUUGGUGAGUCUUAAUAUAAUGGACCUGGAGCAUAGCUGGGAGAGAGGAGUAGCUGCAAACCAAGAUUAGAAAGCCCCUCGGGGCAAGAAAGAAGGAACAGAUUGUGCUGCCUGUGGUUUGCCCCAGGGCUGGUUCUGAGCAUUCCCUCUCCCAAACGCCUCAGCAGAUUUUUAGGAAAUCAAAGCCCCAGUUCCCUCGGGCCCCUCAUUGUCCUGCCGUCUGCCCAUCUCUGGCACAGAGGAGCACCUGCCUGCUCUGGGGCCCCUCACAGAUGUUUGCAGGCUGCUUUAUAACGGGGCAGCUGCCGUGCAUUGAUGGAAACCAACAGAAAACCACAGCAGUUGUUCUUUCAGCUUCUUCAGGGACAAGUGUCUAAAGCAAAACCUGGUGCUUCUGGCUCUGCAACAGCAUCAGACCCAUCCAGAGCAUCAAAGCUGUCACUGAGCAAGCAACACAGAAGACAUGACAAAAUCACACAGUAGGCUGCACAUGAAAUAGUAAAUGACUGUAGUUAUUUUCUAUGUUUACCUCAAAUAAUCCUUUGGAGGUCUGAAACAAUAUCAAGGCAGUGCUGGAUAGGUGUCAGUCCUUUGAGACUGAUUCCACAGCACCUCACCCAUCAAUUGGGUAACAGCUGAGCUGGAGAGGAAAACAGCACAGCUGGGUUUCCUUUCCUGCCCUUGACACCUGGGGAUCUCUGGUGACUGGCACGGCCCUGCUUGGAUGUGUCACCUUGUGAGACAGCACUUCUUGGGACAGCACUGUUGCAUCAAAGAGGAAUUCACUUUGGAAUGUCUGUGUUUCUACUGGUUGGUAUUGGCUAUGAAUUAUUAAUCACAGCUUUGCAGUUUACUGCAGCCCAAAAUCCCAUUGUAUUCUCAGUUCUGACAAAAAAAAAAUCUAAAUGCUUUGACAUCUGCUUUUCUGGAGAAAUGGGAUCUGCUUUCUUUCCCUGAUAGCUCUGUCACACUGUGAAAGGUACCUGGGAAACACCUGGUGAUUUACAAAUCCAACACAACUGCAUGAGUUUGCAAGUGAAGCUGUGUGAUUACCACAGAUGGAGAAACGUCUGUUAAAUUAAUAGAUUUGGAUUUUCUCUAUCCGGGAGGAAAGUUGUGCAGUUGGUUUUGCUUCCUGCUCUGAUUCAUAUUUAGAGUCAGACAUAAGUAGAGCUCACCUCUACCCCUUCUCUCUUGGAUUCAAAAUCUUAGCAAGGUUGCAGAUUUUUGACUUGAGAUCACUUGGCUUCUUUUCUAGGGUCUUCUGAUCCCAACGAUUUGUUUUCAGGAGGCUUAUCUGUCUUUAACGGUGCUUUGUAAACUGAGGGCCCAGAUCCAGCUGAGAUCAAAAGGUUCCCACCAGAUUAAGGGAGGGAGGUAAAUGAGACCCUUUCAGAAUUCAGAGACACAGACAGAGCUGUCAUUAGCAAAGCAGACAGUGGGAUUUCUCUUCUCCAGCCAUAACUAUUGGCCCUCUCAUGCUCCUAUGAGGUUAUCAAACCUUGUACCAUAUUAGGGUAUUAAUAUCUCAUCCAGUAUCCCACUCUGAGUUAUAACUGUUCAUCUGAAGGACAGAAAACAGAAAUGGAAAUACGGAAAUACCUGUUAAGGUAUUGGUCCAAUCAUCUGGGGCUUGUCAGAUGAGGGUGGGAAAAGGUUUAGUGUUUCUUGGCUUGACACUUUCUAAAUCUUCUUUAAUAUCCCUCUUCCUCCUCAUUCUCUAAAAAACAAUGCUCACAUCAAAGUGCUUUUACUUCAAAACUUCAAUAUUGAAAUACAGUUCCAUGAUUUUCACAUCUCCAUGCCCAAAAGUCUCACCCAGAUCACCUAAGCUAUUUCCUGAGUAUAUGUGUUGAAAAUGAUACAACAUUUUAAAUUGUUUGAACUAACUUUAGUCAUGGGUUUGUUUGCAGUUUCUGUGACCCCUGCAGACUCCCUUAAAGUAAAUGAAUAUGGCAAACUUCCAGCAAAUUUAGAGAUUUGGGUCCUGUCCUUGCCCACAAUACAGUGUCAACAGCACACUCAAUAUUUAUCAUUUUCAGCUAUCAAAAAGCAUUCACUAUAUUUGCCAAACUUCUUGAAAUGACCAGAAAUCCUUCAACGAAUUAA